rnacentral:rRNA from 1 species
UACGGGGGGGAGCAAGCGUUUGUUCGGGAUUUACUGGGCAUAAAGGGGCGCGUAGGCGGCCACCGCAAGUCGACUGUGAAAUCUCCGGGCUUAACCCGGAAAGGUCAGCCGAUACUGCGGGGGCUAGAGUGCAGAAGGGGGCAACUGGGAAUUCUCGGUGUAGCGGUGAAAUGCGUAGAUAUCGAGAGGAACACCUGCGGCGAAGGCGGGUUGCUGGGGCUGAUACUGACGCUGAUGCGCGAAAGCUAGGGGGAGCGAACGGG